CAGUAUCAUGGAAGCAUAUACCCGAGCAGGAGUUCCACAUCACCAAGGAAACUCACAUCAUAAGCUUUCAGGGUUCUAGUCUAGAACCAAAUUUCUGGGAUUAGUUUCUAGAAGACAAAGUAUUUUCCCCUUGCUGAACAAACAAGCUCAAUAUGAGGAAUAGGCUUAAGUGAUAACCAGUCCAGGGCAGGUUAAAAUGUUUGAAAUAGAAAAGCAAAUCUAUCGAAGUGUCUGUCAAAUCAGCCAAGCCAGUAACAUUUUUAUUCAUGUUGCAAAUGGAGAAAUGGGAAAGGCAGUGAGGGACUAGGAGGAGCAAUGUAAGGAGGGCUACCAGGAUGCCAAAGGCUGCAAAGAGAAAGGAGUCUUGAAAGACCAAUGGUUCAGAACCAGACUUGGUGGCACAUGUCUUUAAUUCCAGCACUCUAGAGGCAGAGGUCAAGCCUGGAAAACUGAGUUCAGACUACCCAAACCACACAAAAGCCAGAUGCGGCAGUACACAUCUGUAAUCCCUGGCCUCCUACCGCAAGACGGGCAGGGGAACAAUAGCCUGGGACAGAAAGCACAGCGGCAGAAAUAAAAGAAAGCUGCCCCAAAACAAGAUGGAACACUAGAAAGCAACUCUGGAAAGUUGUUCUCUAAUGUCUAGAUGUUACUAAGCAUACAGAGAAGCUAGGUCAUAACUGGCUGAGUGACAGGAAGAAAAACUCAAAAAGCCCAAAGCUGUAUUUCUACUUCCUGGCUCGUUUUGCUAAGUGAUUGCAUCUUGGUCUCCGGUGACAGAGCCUGAGCUGUAGUCUGGACAACAUUUACUAGACUGCAGAAAGUUAAGGAAGUCCUCACUUCUCUUCAUGUCCCACUACGUUCUGACUGACAAAAUGGGGAUACUAAUCUCCCUGCCUUUCAACACCCAUGUGAGGACUAGAUGAUGGCACCUGGU